CAGCAGCCGCGGUAAAACGUAGGUGGCAAGCGUUGUCCGGAAUUAUUGGGUGUAAAUGGCUCGCAGGCGGUUUCUUAAGUCUGAUGUGAAAGCCCCCGGCUCAACCGGGGAGGGUCAUUGGAAACUGGGAAACUUGAGUGCAGAAGAGGAGAGUGGAAUUCCACGUGUAGCGGUGAAAUGCGUAGAGAUGUGGAGGAACACCAGUGGCGAAGGCGACUCUCUGGUCUGUAACUGACGCUGAGGAGCGAAAGCGUGGGGAGCGAACAGGAUUAGAUACCCCAGUAGUCCCUGUCUCUUAUAC
rnacentral:rRNA from 1 species